rnacentral:rRNA from 1 species
GACAGCAGCCGCCGCGGGAAUACGUAGGUCCCGAGCGUUGUCCGGAUUUAUUGGGCGUAAAGGGAGCGCAGGCGGUUUAGUAAGUCUGAAGUUAAAGGCAUUGGCUCAACCAAUGUAUGCUUUGGAGACUGUUAGACUUGAGUGCAGAAGGGGAGAGUGGAAUUCCAUGUGUAGCGGUGAAAUGCGUAGAUAUAUGGAGGAACACCGGUGGCGAAAGCGGCUCUCUGGUCUGUCACUGACGCUGAGGCUCGAAAGCGUGGGUAGCGAACAGGAUUAGAUACCCCCGUAGUCCCUGUCUCUUAUACA